AUUUAUAUAGAUUAAUAAAAACAUUACAUUUUCACUGUAAAAAUAAUAACUUAUUAUUUAUAAAUA
rnacentral:tRNA from 1 species